AACGAACGCUGGCGGCAGGCCUAACACAUGCAAGUCGAGCGCGUAGCAAUACGAGCGGCGCACGGGAUAGUAACGCGUGGGAACCUACCUUUCGGUUCGGAAUAACAUCGGGAAACUGGUGCUAAUACCGGAUACGCCCUUCGGGGGAAAGAUUUAUUGCCGAUAGAUGGGCCCGCGUUGGAUUAGCUAGUUGGUGAGGUAACGGCUCACCAAGGCAACGAUCCAUAGCUGGUCUGAGAGGAUGAUCAGCAUCACUGGGACUGAGACACGGCCCAGACUCCUACGGGAGGCAGCAGUGGGGAAUAUUGGACAAUGGGGGCAACCCUGAUCCAGCCAUGCCGCGUGAAUGAUGAAGGCCUUCGGGUUGUAAAGUUCUUUUGGUGGGGACGAUGAUGACGGUACCCACAGAAUAAGCUCCGGCUAACUUCGUGCCAGCAGCCGCCGCCG
rnacentral:rRNA from 1 species